rnacentral:misc_RNA from 1 species
GACGAACCGAGCGAACGUUAUUCGGAAUCACUGGGCUUAAAGGGCGCGUAGGCGGGCCGGCAAGUCAGGGGUGAAAGCCCCCAGCUCAACUGGGGAAGUGCCUCUGAUACUGCCGGCCUCGAGGGAGGUAGGGGCGUGCGGAACUUCCGGUGGAGCGGUGAAAUGCGUAGAUAUCGGAAGGAACACCGGUGGCGAAAGCGGGGCGCUGGACCUCUUCUGACGCUGAGGCGCGAAAGCCAGGGGAGCAAACGGG